rnacentral:tRNA from 1 species
GGAGGGGUGUCCGAGUGGUUGAAGGAGGCGGUCUUGAAAACCGUUAACCUUUCGCGAGGUUCAUGGGUUCGAAUCCCAUUCCCUCCG